rnacentral:rRNA from 1 species
CGGGUUGCAGCAGUGGGGAAUUUUGGACAAUGGGCGCAAGCCUGAUCCAGCAAUGCCGCGUGCAGGAUGAAGGCCUUCGGGUUGUAAACUGCUUUUGUACGGAACGAAACGGUGAGCUCUAAUAAAGUUUGCUAAUGACGGUACCGUAAGAAUAAGCACCGGCUAACUACGUGCCAGCAGCCGCGGUAAUACGUAGGGUGCGAGCGUUAAUCGGAAUUACUGGGCGUAAAGCGUGCGCAGGCGGUUAUAUAAGACAGAUGUGAAAUCCCCGGGCUCAACCUGGGACCUGCAUUUGUGACUGUAUAGCUAGAGUACGGUAGAGGGGGAUGGAAUUCCGCGUGUAGCAGUGAAAUGCGUAGAUAUGCGGAGGAACACCGAUGGCGAAGGCAAUCCCCUGGACCUGUACUGACGCUCAUGCACGAAAGCGUGGGGAGCAAACAGGAUUAGAUACCCCGGU